rnacentral:tRNA from 1 species
ACCGAUGUAGCUCAAUGGAAGAGCUCCCGAAAGGGAAGGAGGUGGUUCGAUUCCAUCCACCGGUA